CGGUGAAGACGAUCGCGGGUGUACGCGGUGGGAGAGCACUCCUCUCGGAGGAAGCGCGAACCGUGCCGCGGCGAGACGUAGAAAUAACUUAGACGGUGCGAAACGUGGUAAAGCGCGACACCAACCGAUUCGUUCGACGCUCGCCUGUAUGCGGUCCGUAACUCACUAAGAGUGCUGGUAGCAGCGGCACAUCGACGAGAUGCAUGGUGGCUACGGGCACUAGCCGGGAGGGGGCACGUCCCUGGCGCGGGGAGGAGACACGUCGCGGUGUCGGAGUGUCGGGUGGGGUAAGGGGUUUUCUCGUCGAAGAGUGGUGGUUGGACUGGCGGUGGUGGCGCGCGGAUUUAAGACGGACGCGGACGUCGAGGUUUUUUGAUUGAAUUCAUAUCUCGGCCCGUCGUGUAUUUAACACGUUGACUGCGGAGGACGCACGGUGUGCGUUCUGUGAUUCUCGCCACAGAAGCCGGCCACAGAAUCGCCGGCUGCGGCGCACGGUGGUCCCAAAUGGCCAAAAAGCGGAAAACACUCGAUAUCUCGAGAACGAAUCAUCCUAUCAAUCCGACACUAAUCUCAUUCGAUUCGGGAUGAAAAAAUACAUUAGAAUUAUGUAAAAAUUAUUUUGAUAAAAAAAAGGUAAUUUUUAUAAUAAUACGUCAAUGGCUCCUUCGCUAAGGGGAAGGUGCUUUUUUUUUAGGUUCAGACCUCGUGUUUGUAUGUUUGGGUCAUUGAACCUUGUUUUAGUGAAUUUUUAACAGAAAAAAAUACAGGUUCUUUUAUGUUUUUUAAUCGUCGUACAUUUCGUCUGUCGUGGAUUUAUUAGGAUUUUAUCAGUUCAUAAUACGUCCUUUAAACAUGAGCCAAUUUUUCGGAACCUCCGCUUAUUUAUUUCAUCGAAAAUAAACAAAAUGGCAGCGUUUCUUGUGAAAGAGAGAAAAGAAACACUUUUUUUGUACCGUAAAUCAAGUGAAAUUGUAAGUAAAAAUCAAAAUAUCAACUACUUGGAGGUUCCGACGAUAGGUGUGACGACAUAAUAAACUUUUUCGAUUUUCUGUUCAAAAAUCACCAAAAUCACAAAAAUCAUCUGCGCCAGCGGAUAACUUUUUCUUUUUGCACACAUGCAUAUUAUUUUGUAAAUAAAUGACGAAAUAUUUUUUACCAAAAAAACAUUUGUUUAUUUACUUUCCUUAAUCAUACCAUUAAGGGGAAAGAACAUUCGUUCAAUUUUAUGCAAUAGUUCCUGAGAAAAAAAUUAUUGAAAGUAUGCUUUUUUUUGUACGUUUACAGUGAAAUGUCCCCUUAAACUCUACCUACGUGGACGCCAGUUGACAGUGAGAACCACGUACCGCGCGUAGUGUCGCGCUUCCGUGUUGGAUCAUUUAUCGCUGGCGAACGGCCUCGAUGAUCAGCUGGAUGGACGUCACCGACACGAAUUUCAAACGGGCUUGCACCGUGUGUCAUGACUAGACUGCGGAUGUUUACGCGCGAACGAUAACGCAAGACGUAAUGCAGGCGUGCACGAAAGUACUCCAACGGUUGCGUUUUGGAUCGUUCGGUUGUCCCUCUGCGGUUGCAUGUCUACUCUCUCAAACAUCCCAUCAAAACAACCUGAUCGUACUUCGUAUAGUAAGUUAUUUUUCAGGUAUCGAGGAAUUAUAAAUUGGAUGGCAUUUCCUGAAUCAGGGGAGUCCAGAGAAUUCAUUGAGCCCAAAUACGAGACUGUCGUCCAAAAGUUGUGGGUUUUAGAGGGAUUGGAGGGUUGUGAGGGGUGGGUUUGUCCGAGAGGGAUUUCAUGGGGUGCAUUUUGUAGAGGGCAUCGAGGAGAGUCGUCCUAAAGUUUUUUUUAAUGUUUUCAACCCCUUUCGUCACCUCUGGCAUCUUUAGAAGCGACGUUUUUCGACGCCCCCCUCUUUAAGGGGGUGAAUUAACCCCUUCACAUCAACCCUCGACAAUGCAACUUUGCACACGCCCAGAAGACACUUGAAGCCUAUACCUCACGAAGUUUCACCGAAAUCGGUUGAAAACUCUCAUAAUUAUGAACAUUUAACAAAGUGUUCAGCUAAUUUUGUCCAGUAGCUUAUGUAUCUAUGUUCCUAUUAUUAUGUUUGUUUAAUUAAGUUAUAUUUAUUGAACACAAAUGUUGUAAAAAUAGAAAUAAAAAUAAAAACUCAAAUAAUAUUUACAAAGAAA